GGGUUGUGAGGUUAAGCGACUAAGCGUACACGGUGGAUGCCCUGGCAGUCAGAGGCGAUGAAGGACGUGCUAAUCUGCGAUAAGCGUCGGUGAGGUGAUAUGAACCGUUAUAACCGGCGAUUUCCGAAUGGGGAAACCCAGUGUGUUUCGACACACUAUCAUUAACUGAAUCCAUAGGUUAAUGAGGCGAACCGGGGGAACUGAAACAUCUAAGUACCCCGAG
rnacentral:rRNA from 1 species